AACGAACGCUGGCGGCAUGCCUAACACAUGCAAGUCGAACGAGACCUUCGGGUCUAGUGGCGCACGGGUGCGUACCGCGUGGGAACCUGCCCUUAGGUUCGGAAUAACUCCCCGAAAGGGGUGCUAAUACCGGAUAAUGUCUUCGGACCAAAGAUUUAUCGCCUUUGGAUGGGCCCGCGUUGGAUUCGGUAGUUGGUAGGGUAAAAGCCUACCAAGGCGACGAUCCAUAGCUGGUCUGAGAGGAUGAUCAGCCACACUGGGACUGAGACACGGCCCAGACUCCUACGGGAGGCAGCAGUGGGGAAUAUUGGACAAUGGGCGAAAGCCUGAUCCAGCAAUGCCGCGUGAGUGAUGAAGGCCUUAGGGUUGUAAAGCUCUUUUACCCGGGAUGAUAAUGACAGUACCGGGAGAAUAAGCUCCGGCUAACUCCGUG
rnacentral:rRNA from 1 species